rnacentral:rRNA from 1 species
UGAGCAAUCUGCCCUUCUCAUCGGAAUAAGCGUUGGAAACGACGUCUAAUGCCGAAUACGACCUCCUUUCGCAUGAUCGGAGGUGGAAAGCUCCGGCGGAGAAGGAUGAGCUCGCGGCCUAUCAGCUAGUUGGUGUGGAUAACGGCCCACCAAGGCGACGACGGGUAGCCGGCCUGAGAGGGUGACCGGCCACACUGGGACUGAGACACGGCCCAGACUCCGUACGGGAGCA